rnacentral:lncRNA from 1 species
GAAUGAUCUUUUUAGAGGAUUAGUUGUAAUAGAAAGAAAAUAACUUGCAUAAAAAAGACAAUAUAGCUGAAAAAGUCCUUAGCAACCAGUUUUACACCAUAGCAACCCCCCCCCCUUUUUCAAUAAAAAUGCAAAAAAUGUGUUUUUUGUCCAUCAUACACUAGUUUUCUUGAUUGAACAAUAAUGAUCACAUUUAGAUACAUUUAAUUACCUGACAUCAUUUAGAAAAAAAGAAUAAGUUCAACUGUUUACAUCUUAGAAACUAAUUUUACAACAUAGCAACAAUUUU